AUGCUUCCCUGGCAGAGGAGAUACCAUGACCACGAAGAUGCUUUUCCCAGGGUGAGGCUUACCCAUUGCACUCCGGAUGUGCUGAGCCCUGUGAUUCCCCCAAAUAUGGGAAAACUUGACUGCAUGAAUUUGUGUAGUGGGGGACUGUGUCGUGCCUUUCCCUG
rnacentral:snRNA from 1 species